AGUCGACUGUUGCGCGUGCGCGCGCUGUGACGUUCCCUACGCGGUCGGGCGUUGGGUUUCGCGGCGCUCGCCGCACUGGUUGUUUAGCACCUUCGGUCCGGUUGAGGUUGUCAAGUCGGACCAAAUAGGUUGUUUCUCUGCAGUUUCCAACAUGGUAGGGAGGUUUAAUAGACAUGGAUAAGAAGUCCACUCACAGAAAUCCUGAAGAUGCCAAGGCUGGCAAAUAUGAAGGUAAACACAAACGAAAGAAAAGAAGAAAGCAAAACCAAAACCAGCACCGAUCCCGACAUAGAUCAGUGACAUCUUUUUCUUCAGAUGAUCCUAUGUUUCCUUCUUCCUCAUCAUCAUCUUCAGGAAGCCAGACAGAUUCAAGUAUUGAAGGUGCUGCCAAGGGAAAAAUUAAGAAGAAGAGAAGAGAGAAAACAAAUAAAUGGAGGGAAAAAAGAAAGGUAUCUUCUGAGAUGUCCAUCAUCCUUUCUGGUCCUCAGUCACUGGUCCACACCAUUUGCCACUAAGAUAUUGUCAUUCCUGUUUGUCUGGUACCUUCAGGACAAAAUAUGAAACACCAAGAAAAAGAGAAGGAAAAAAAGGAGGAAACAACCACAUAUGUCACCUUUCCAAGGAAUAUAAUUCAAUAUCAGAAUGAUUUGGAAGGAAAAAACCUACAGGAAGCUAUUGUAGCCUAGUGAGGAAGAUAAAUAUUAAUACAGCCAAUUUAUAGAUCAGACUAAAGACAAUGAUUGGGGCAUUGAAAAGAACAGAUAGAAGAGAUAUUGCAAAGAGGGGCUGAAACCGGGCUGACCCUUUUGAUUUCCAAACUCAGCGUUUUGGUGUAAGGCGGCCAAAGAAGGAUGCAGAGCCCAGCACUGUGAAGCCUACAAAAACAUUGAUGCGCUGGCUUGGGGAUUUGAAUUUGAACAUCUUUCACAGCAAGUUCAGACUCAUGAAACCAAUCUUCAGAUGCUCUGUAAACCACAUAAUAAAGAGUUUGGAAAUUA